rfam:Parcubacteria bacterium GW2011_GWC1_42_11 TT88_C0008, whole genome shotgun sequence.
GCCCUGGUAGUGAAAUGGAUAUCACGACGGUCUUCGAAACCGUUAUUCCAGGUUCGAAUCCUGGCCUGGGCA